UGGGGAAUAUUGGACAAUGGGCGCAAGCCUGAUCCAGCCAUGCCGCGUGAGCGAUGAAGGCCUUAGGGUUGUAAAGCUCUUUCACCGGCGACGAUGAUGACGGUAGCCGGAGAAGAAGCCCCGGCUAACUCCGUGCCAGCAGCCGCGGUAAUACGGAGGGGGCAAGCGUUGUUCGGAAUUACUGGGCGUAAAGGGCGCGCAGGCGGUCGGCCGCGUCAGAUGUGAAAGCCCCGGGCUCAACCUGGGAGGUGCAUUUGAUACGGGUCGGCUUGAACCCGGCAGAGGGUGGUGGAAUUCCCAGUGUAGAGGUGAAAUUCGUAGAUAUUGGGAAGAACACCGAUGGCGAAGGCAGCCACCUGGGCCGGCGUUGACGCUGAGGCGCGAAAGCGUGGGGAGCAAACA
rnacentral:rRNA from 1 species